rnacentral:rRNA from 2 species
UGGGCGUAAGAGCUCGUAGGUGGUUUGUCGCGUUGUUCGUGAAAACUCACAGCUUAACUGUGGGCGUGCGGGCGAUACGGGCAGACUUGAGUACUGCAGGGGAGACUGGAAUUCCUGGUGUAGCGGUGGAAUGCGCAGAUAUCAGGAGGAACACCGGUGGCGAAGGCGGGUCUCUGGGCAGUAACUGACGCUGAGGAGCGAAAGCGUGGGGAGCGAACAGGAUUAGAUACCCUGGUAGUCCACGCCGUAAACGGUGGGUACUAGGUGUGGGUUUCCUUCCUUGGGAUCCGUGCCGUAGCUAACGCAUUAAGUACCCCGCCUGGGGAGUACGGCCGCAAGGCUAAAACUCAAAGAAAUUGACGGGGGCCCGCACAAGCGGCGGAGCAUGUGGAUUAAUUCGAUGCAACGCGAAGAACCUUACCUGGGUUUGACAUGCACAGGACGACUGCAGAGAUGUGGUUUCCCUUGUGGCCUGUGUGCAGGUGGUGCAUGGCUGUCGUCAGCUCGUGUCGUGAGAUGUUGGGUUAAGUCCCGCAACGAGCGCAACCCUUGUCCUAUGUUGCCAGCGGGUUAUGCCGGGGACUCGUAGGAGACUGCCGGGGUCAACUCGGAGGAAGGUGGGGAUGACGUCAAGUCAUCAUGCCCCUUAUGUCCAGGGCUUCACACAUGCUACAAUGGCCGGUACAAAGGGCUGCGAUGCCGUGAGGUGGAGCGAAUCCUUUCAAAGCCGGUCUCAGUUCGGAUCGGGGUCUGCAACUCGACCCCGUGAAGUCGGAGUCGCUAGUAAUCGCAGAUCAGCAACGCUGCGGUGAAUA